rnacentral:misc_RNA from 1 species
GUAGGUGAACCUGCGGAAGGAUCAUUAACACAUCAACCGCUGAGGCCGUCGGUACGGGCAGGAAACUGCUCGUCCUUCGUGUCUUGGCACUAACCAAUAUCCACCCGUGGUCCUGUUCUGUACGUCAGCCAACAACCGGGCUGAUGCUUAUCUACCUCGUUGCGCAGAUCAUCCUGCCAGGCGUCCUUGAUUCCUGUCGACCAGGUUUUUUGCGUGACGGGCUAGCCAUUUCUUAUGAACUCAAAAUUGU